UAAUGUCUGGGAAACGUGCCUGAUGGAGGGGGAUAACUACUGGAAACGGUAGCUAAUACCGCAUAAUGUCGCAAGAACAAGGUGGGGGACCUUCGGGCCUCAUGCCAUCAGAUGUGCCCAGAUGGGAUUAGCUAGUAGGUGGGGUAACGGCUCACCUAGGCGACGAUCCCUAGCUGGUCUGAGAGGAUGACCAGCCACACUGGAACUGAGACACGGUCCAG
rnacentral:rRNA from 1 species